UUGGGAGACUUGAUCUCUUAGUGGCGCAGUUAACGCGAUAAGUAGACCGCCUGGGGAGUACGGCCGCAAGGUUAAAACUCAAAUGAAUUGACGGGGGCCCGCACAAGCGGUGGAGCAUGUGGUUUAAUUCGACGCAACGCGAAGAACCUUACCAGGUCUUGACAUCCUAGAAACUUAGCAGAGAUGCUUUGGUGCCUUCGGGAAUCUAGUGACAGGUGCUGCAUGGCUGUCGUCAGCUCGUGUCGUGGGAUGUUGGGUUAAGUCCCGUAACGAGCGCAACCCUUGUCCUUAGUUGCCAGCACGUAAUGGUGGGAACUCUAAGGAGACUGCCGGUGACAAACCGGAGGAAGGUGGGGACGACGUCAAGUCAUCAUGGCCCUUACGACCUGGGCUACACACGUGCUACAAUGGCCAGUACAGAGGGCUGCAAGCCCGCGAGGGGGAGCUAAUCUCACAAAGCUGGUCGUAGUCCGGAUCGCAGUCUGCAACUCGACUGCGUGAAGUUGGAAUCGCUAGUAAUCGUGAAUCAGAAUGUCACGGUGAAUACGUUCCCGGGCCUUGUACACACCGCCCGUCACACCAUGGGAGUAGGUUGCAAAAGAAGUAGCUAGGCUAACCUUCGGGAGGCCGGUUACCACUUUGUGAUUUAUGACUGGGGUG
rnacentral:rRNA from 1 species